GGACUGCUGGCCCAAUGGCAAGGCGUCUGACUUCGAAUCAGAAGAUUGUAGGUUCGAUCCCUGCGCAGUUCA